rnacentral:rRNA from 1 species
AUUGAACGCUGGCGGCAUGCCUUACACAUGCAAGUCGAACGGCAGCACGGGAGCUUGCUCCUGGUGGCGAGUGGCGAACGGGUGAGUAAUACAUCGGAACGUACCCAGUAGUGGGGGAUAACGCACCGAAAGGUGCGCUAAUACCGCAUACGAACUAAGGGUGAAAGCGGGGGACCGCAAGGCCUCGCGCUAUUGGAGCGGCCGAUGUCGGGUUAGCUAGUUGGCGAGGUAAAGGCCCACCAAGGCGACGAUCAGUAGCUGGUCUGAGAGGACGAUCAGCCACACUGGGACUGAGACACGGCCCAGACUCCUACGGGAGGCAGCAGUGGGGAAUUUUGGACAAUGGGGGCAACCCUGAUCCAGCAAUGCCGCGUGUGCGAAGAAGGCCUUCGGGUUGUAAAGCACUUUUGUCAGGGAAGAAAUCUUUCAGGCUAAUACCCUUGGAAGGAUGACGGUACCUGAAGAAUAAGCACCGGCUAACUACGUGCCAGCCGCCGCUGUAA